rnacentral:rRNA from 1 species
UACCCCCGGUAGUCCCAGCCGUAAACUAUGCGCGUUAGGUGUACUGGUGACCACGAGUCACCGGGGUGCCGAAGGGAAACCGUGAAACGUGCCGCCUGGGAAGUACGGUCGCAAGGCUAGAAACUUAAAGGAAUUGGGCGGGGGAGCACCACAACGGGUGGAGCCUGCGGUUUAAUUGGACUCAACGCCGGAAAUCUCACCGGAUAGGACAGACAUAUGAUAGUCGGGCUGAAGACUCUACUUGAUGAUCUG